rnacentral:rRNA from 1 species
GACGAACGCUGGCGGCGUGCUUAACACAUGCAAGUCGAACGGAAAGGCCCUGCUUUUGUGGGGUGCUCGAGUGGCGAACGGGUGAGUAACACGUGAGUAACCUGCCCUUGACUUUGGGAUAACUUCAGGAAACUGGGGCUAAUACCGGAUAGGAGCUCCGGCUGCAUGGUGGGGGUUGGAAAGUUUCGGCGGUUGGGGAUGGACUCGCGGCUUAUCAGCUUGUUGGUGGGGUAGUGGCUUACCAAGGCUUUGACGGGUAGCCGGCCUGGGAGGGUGACCGGCCACAUUGGGACUGAGAUACGGCCCAGACUCCUACGGGAGGCAGCAGUGGGGAAUAUUGCACAAUGGGCGGAAGCCUGAUGCAGCAACGCCGCGUGCGGGAUGACGGCCUUCGGGUUGUAAACCGCUUUCGCCUGUGACGAAGCGUGAGUGACGGUAAUGGGUAAAGAAGCACCGGCUAACUACGUG